rnacentral:rRNA from 1 species
GAUGAACGCUGGCGGCGUGCCUAAUACAUGCAAGUCGAACGAAGAUCUAGCUUGCUAGAUCUUAGUGGCGAACGGGUGAGUAAUACAUAAAUAAUCUGCCCAUAUGACUGGGAUAACUAUUGGAAACGAUAGCUAAUACCGGAUAGGUUGAUCGGAGGCAUCUCUGAUGAAUUAAAGUAGGAUUUCUACACAAAUGGAUGAGUUUAUGGCGCAUUAGUUAGUUGGGGGGGUAACGGCCUACCAAGACGAUGAUGCGUAGCCGACCUGAGAGGGUGACCGGCCGCACUGGGACGGUGACACGGCCCAGAAUCCUACGGGAGGAAGCAGUAGGGAAUUUUCGGCAAUGGGCGCAAGCCUGACCGAGCAACGCCGCGUGAGUGAUUAAGGCCUUCGGGUUGUAAAGCUCUGUUGUAAGGGAAGAACAUUCAGGAUAGGAAAUGAUCUUGAACUGACGGUACCUUACCAGAAAGCCACGGCUAACUACGUGCCAGCAGCCGCUGUAA